AUACAUUAUCAUCAUCAAGGACCCAUAUUUACUGUAUCCCCGAACAGUUGAAUGAGAUCAUUCUUGGUUAUAAUGUUACUGAUGAUAAUGUUGUUUAUCUAGUUCCUUUCUUACUUAAGUGAAAGAGCUUGCCUUAAAAUUAACACUCAGGUGUGAUAACAAUUCUAUAAUAUCAACAGUAAAGUAACCAAAAUCUUUGUAUUUUUUAUUUGUAUCUUCUACAAAAAUAUGUACUGAAAAUAUGUACAAGGCGUCCUUAGCCAUGAUUAGCUUAGUAUGGUUAUGCUGAAAGAACUGUGUCCAGAAAGACCCAGAAAAAUAUAUGCCAUACUUACAUUCAGAUAUGCUUCUGGCAAUAAGAGCUGAUGGCUCCGCCAGGUUGAUAUUCAACCUGAGACACCUAAACACCUAGGUAUUAACCAGGUAAUUUUGAUACAGAUCACAGAUUAUAACGGUAAUUAAACAUUUUAUCAUUUUACAAAGCCAGGAUUGUCUUGUAAAAUUAGACAUCAUUGGUAACAGUAAUGAGAUUCUCACAAGGUCAGGAUUGGCUUGUACAAUCAGGCAUCAUUGGCCUAUUUUCUGCCUGCAUAUGGCAGCCAUUUCAAAUGGUCGCGGAGACCCUACAGGCUGGAGGUGCCCUCCUUCUGUUUUAUUUAAGCUAUUAAGUUUUGGUCUAUUGAGACCGUUGCAAAAUUAACUUCACAGGUCUUGUAGACUGUGAGGAUUUUGGAAAAGCUUAAUUGGCACUACAGCCACAUAAAGUGCCUUCUGAUUUAGUUGGACAAUUAUCUUUUGGGUCUACCAUGACUAAUCCAAUUUAACUUCACAGGUCGCGGAGACCAUGGAGGUUUUGGUAAAGCCUGAUUGGCAGGACUAUUCCAAUUCAACUUCACAGGUCGCGGAGACCAUGGGGGUUUUGGUAAAGCCUGAUUGACAAGACUAUUCCAAUUCAACUUCACAGGUCGCGGAGACCAUGGAGAUAUUGGUAGAGCUUGAUUGGCACUCCAAUCACAAAAAGGGCCACAGCCCUCUGAUUUAGUUAAACUAUCAGGAUUAUUCUAAUAAUUUAACUUCACAGGUCUCGGAGACCAUGGAGAUUUUAGUAAAGCCACAGAAUGAGCUACAGCCUUCUAGUUAGACAAUUAUCUUUUCGUCUACAAGGAUUGUUCCAAUUAACUCUACAGGUCCCGGAGACCAUAGAGAUUUUGGGAAGGCAGGUUUGGCACAUCAAUUACAAAGUGUACAUUGUAAGCCUGGAUACUUGUGCCUCAUGUGUAAUACUAUAGAAAUGUCUGUGUUAUUGCCAGUCCCAAAAGCCUCAAAGAUAGAGCAUACUGUGGUAGUCAUUAAAAGGACCAUGUCUUGCACUAAAUAAGAGUUGCAGACAGUUCUAGACAUCUAACACUGAGAGGACUGUACAGUUGUCGCCUCCAGGUAUUUCUCUAGAGUUUCGCGCACAGCAGACCAAGAGAGAAAGGCUUUCCCUCUACAUGCUAUACAAGACUUAAGAGUUGUGGAAAAGAAACAUAGACAGAAAUGUAAUAGUAUUUGUAAAAGAACAAGUUUCUCACUUCCUAACUACAGAUACCGCGGAUGCGGGCUGAGUAGGACAUCUGAACAGUACUUACCUGUCAGAGAAAUGAAGAGGGAAGCAGGGGACUUGGCAUUAGAACUUCUGACUUAGAUGUCGUGUACCAGAUAUGCAAUAAAAGUGCUUCUGAGUAAAUUGCAAGGGGGGCACAUCCUGUAGCCCAAGCUAUCAAUCAGACUUUGGUCGCCCACAUACAAAGGUUGCUGACUCUCUUAGCUCUUACAACUGAGUAACUGUACCUAGCCGAAAAGUUGAGAAUAACUCUUGGCACGCUUCCAGGACGCCUAAGUGGCCUUUGAUUUAGAUUGCCUCUCAAGAAAUCAACCUGUACCGGAGUGGCUUCUCCUACCUUGUACAACAGGAAAUAUAAUAUUUCGGAAGCUCCUGAUAUGGACCAUUUCGCUACCCAAAGGAAUGCUUUAGUGCCAAGGCAUAUUUGCCAAAGCCUGCUCCGAAUUUUGCGACAUCUGCAGUCGUUGAUGGAGCUGACGCCUAGACUGAAUAUUCCCUUUCAAGGGUAAUCCUCCAAGUGCACUAGCGCACCUCGCACCCCGGGACCGGGGCAGAUACAUAGCACCCAAGGGUGGCUUAUGGUUGAUAUAAUAAAUAAUAAUAAUAUACGGGCAUUUCUCCGCAACUCAAUGUCAAGCGCCUAAAGAUGGCUUAUGGUUAUUGACUAUUAUGGUUAUAUAUGGUUAUUGACCCGGAAGUCAUGAGCACUCAGACCAUUGGUGAAUGGCCUUACGGCCUUAUGGCCCCCCAACUGCUCAGUCAGAAAAAGGGGGGGGGGGGGAGGGGAGAAAACAGCCCAUUGUAAAGCAAAGGAGAAAGAGCAGUUAAGUAGUGGUGCCCCUCCACAGUGCCAACAUAUGACCCUCCAAGCAGGAGGUGACUUUCAUAAUGCAAUGCUAAAAAAAAAAAAAAAAAAAAAGAAUGCAUGUAAUCUAGUACACAGGGAUUCUAUUUAAUUGGCUUAAGUCUAUCAUAAGCAAGCUCAACCUGUUCAUGACAUGAACAUGACUUCUGAAAACCUCAAAAUACAGUUUUUUAUCACAGCAAGAUAAGAUUAUAACCUGACCAGAAUUUGGAUACUAAAUGGAUACAACAACACAUUAUCCAUCAGGUGGUCGGUUGUGAGGAAACUCAGACACAUAGAUAUGCCCAGUGACCCAUGUGGAAAGGUUGGUUCAAGUAACAAAGGACUGAUUUUCAAUCUUAAAAGUAGAUAAUUGAUUCUUAUCUAAAUUAUAUAAAGGGGCGGACCCUUUAACCUUGCAACACAAACCUUUAUCUCUGGCUAGUUAAGGUCCCUCCAGAUCUUAAAGACAGUAAACAUAGCAGCCCUGUCCAGCAGUGGCUUCAAGAAUGUGGUAAGGGCACCAACCCGUGGAGGCAGUGGAAGGACCAUACAGUCAAUUAUAAAAGUUUUACUGUCAAUCAGUCAAUUUAGCCAGUGCCAGUGAGUCUGGUUUACUUUAAGCAGAUAUCAAACACAUCUUCAUCCAACGCUGUGUGUUUUAGAAAGACACAUAAUAUUGAUGUUUUGCAUUAAAACAAAACAUGUAUUAUGUGUCGAAUAAAACACACAGCGUUGCAGUUUACUGCUUGCUGAUGAAGAUGCUAUGGAGCUUGGAAGAUGACAGCGCGUCAAAGGCGAUGAUGACAGAUGCCAUACUAGGGACGCGCUCUUGCUAGUGAGGUGAAAGAUCCAUCGAUAUUUGGUAAGGUGACCCAAUUUGCAUAGAGAUAUAUAGGAUUCAUAGACUGCUUUCUUCAUCCAACGCUGUGUGUUUUAUUCGACACAUAAUACAUGUUUUGUUUUAAUGCAAAACAUCAAUAUUA